rnacentral:rRNA from 1 species
CCUACGGGAGGCUGCAGUGAGGAAUAUUGGUCAAUGGGCUUACGCCUGAACCAGCCAAGUCGCGUGAGGGAAGACUGCCCUAUGGGUUGUAAACCUCUUUUGUCAGGGAGUAAUUUGCGCUACGUGUAGCGUUAUCGAGAUUACCUGAAAAAAAAGCAUCGGCAAACUCCGUCCCAGCACCGUAGGUAAUAGGGAGAUUGGGGGGUUUAUCGGAUUUGAUUGGGUUUAAGGGUGAGUAAGUCGAAAUGUCAAUUAAGCGGUAAAAUUGCUGGGCUCACCCUCACACUGCCGUUGAAACUGGCAGUCUUGAGUGGGGUAGAGGUAUGCGGAAUGCGUGGUGUAGCGGUGAAAUGCAUAGAUAUCACGCAGAACUCCGAUUGCGAAGGCAGCAUACCGGCGCCCAACUGACGCUGAAGCACGAAAGCGUGGGUAUCGAACAGGAUUAGAUACCCUGGUAGUC